rnacentral:misc_RNA from 1 species
AAGUCGUAACAAGGUUUCCGUAGGUGAACCUGCGGAAGGAUCAUUACAACAAGGUUCCCUGGCCCUCGAAGCUUCGGCGGAGGGGCGCUACAGCCUGACUUUAUACCCACCCUUUGCCUAUGUGUACCCCUAUUGCUUCCCUCGGCGGGUUCGCCCGCCGACAGGAACCAACUAAACCCUUUGCAUUAUACAUUCAACACUUCCGAUACAAAACUAAAUUAUUACAACUUUUAACAAUGGAUCUCUUGGUUCUG